rnacentral:tRNA from 1 species
GCCUCUGUAGCUUCAAUUGGUAGAGCAAUUGAUUCGUAAUCAAUAGGUUGAGGGUUCGAGCCCCUCCAGAGGCU